CUUUUAAUCUGGGUCGUUCAUCGCGUUUGAUCUCGACCAUCCGAUCGCGUUUAAAGAGGAAAUGAAUAUGAAUCAUUCAUCACGAUUUUAUCUGGACUAUAUGAUAAUGUUUAAAGAGGGAACAAAUCUAGACCGUUCAUCACGUUUAAUCGGGACCGUUCGAUCGUGUCUGAGGAGAAAACGGAUCUGGAUCGUCCACGCGUACGAGAACAAAUCUGGAUUGUCCGAUCAUGGGCAUGCAGAUUGCCAGUGUGGCCUCCCGCAUGGUACUGAGUCAGCGUGACUUGCCAUGCGGCAUGCUCCGGUUCGUCGGGGCUACUGACUGGGCAGUUCUACGUGGUACAUUUAUCUUAAAUUGCGUUU
rnacentral:lncRNA from 1 species